rnacentral:rRNA from 1 species
GACGAACGCUGGCGGCGUGCUUAACACAUGCAAGUCGAACGAUGAACCCGGAGCUUGCUCCGGCGGAUUAGUGGCGAACGGGUGAGUAACACGUGAGUAACCUGCCCUUGACUCUGGGAUAACUGCGGGAAACUGUAGCUAAUACCGGAUACGACCCUCGGCGGCAUCGCCAGGGGGUGGAAAGAAUUUCGGUCAAGGAUGGACUCGCGGCCUAUCAGCUAGUUGGUGAGGUAACGGCUCACCAAGGCGACGACGGGUAGCCGGCCUGAGAGGGUGACCGGACACACUGGGAACGAGACACGGCCCAGACUCCUACGGGAGGCCGCAGUGGGGAACCUUCCACAAUGGGCGCAAGCCUGAUGCAGCAACGCCGCGUGAGGGAUGACGGCCUUCGGGUCGUAAACCUCUUCUAGUAGGGACGACGCGAAAGUGAUCGUCCCUGCAGAAAAAGCACCGGCUAACUACGUGCCAGCCGCCGCCGUAA